rnacentral:sRNA from 1 species
GCUGGGCAUGGUGGUGUGUGCCUGUAAUCCCAGCUACUGGGGAGGCUGAGGCAGGAGAAUCCCUUGAACCCAGGAGGUGGAGGUUGUAGUAAGCUGAAGUCACACCACUGCACUCCAGCCUGGGUGACAGAGUGAGACCCUGUCUCAA